rnacentral:rRNA from 1 species
UUGGUGAGGUAACGGCCCACCAAGGCAAUGAUGCGUAGCCGACCUGAGAGGGCGAACGGCCACAUUGGGACUGAGACACGGCCCAAACUCCUACGGGAGGCAGCAGUAGGGAAUUUUCGUCAAUGGGGGGAACCCUGAACGAGCAAUGCCGCGUGAGUGAAGAAGGUCUUCGGAUCGUAAAGCUCUGUUGUAAGCGAAGAACGGUCCGCAUAGGAAAUGAUGCGGGAGUGACGGUAGCUUACCAGAAAGCCACGGCUAACUACGUGCCAGCAGCCGCGGUAAUACGUAGGUGGCAAGCGUUAUCCGGAAUCAUUGGGCGUAAAGGGUGCGUAGGUGGCAGAUUAAGUCCGUAGUAAAAGGCAUUGGCUCAACCAAUGUAAGCUAUGGAAACUGGUCGGCUAGAGUGCAGAAGAGGGCGAUGGAAUUCCAUGUGUAGCGGUAAAAUGCGUAGAUAUAUGGAGGAACACCAGUGGCGAAGGCGGUCGCCUGGUCUGCAACUGACACUGAGGCACGAAAGCGUGGGGAGCAAAUAGGAUUAGAUACCCUAGUAGUCCACGCCGUAAACGAUGAGAACUAAGUGUUGGAGAAAUUCAGU